rnacentral:rRNA from 1 species
AUUGAACGCUGGCGGCAGGCCUAACACAUGCCAGUCGAGCGGAUGAAGGGAGCUUGCUCCUGGAUUCAGCGGCGGACGGGUGAGUAAUGCCUAGGAAUCUGCCUGGUAGUGGGGGAUAACGUCCGGAAACGGGCGCUAAUACCGCAUACGUCCUGAGGGAGAAAGUGGGGGGUCUUCGGACCUCACGCUAUCAGAUGAGCCUAGGUCGGAUUAGCUAGUUGGUGGGGUAAAGGCCUACCAAGGCGACGAUCCGUAACUGGUCUGAGAGGAUGAUCAGUCACACUGGAACUGAGACACGGUCCAGACUCCUACGGGAGGCAGCAGUGGGGAAUAUUGGACAAUGGGCGAAAGCCUGAUCCAGCCAUGCCGCGUGUGUGAAGAAGGUCUUCGGAUUGUAAAGCACUUUAAGUUGGGAGGAAGGGCAGUAAGUUAAUACCUUGCUGUUUUGACGUUACCAACAGAAUAAGCACCGGCUAACUUCGUG